GCAGCAGUGGGGAAUCUUAGACAAUGGGCGCAAGCCUGAUCUAGCCAUGCCGCGUGUGUGAUGAAGGUCUUAGGAUCGUAAAGCACUUUCGCNCAGGGAUGAUANAUNNGACAGUACCUGGUAAAGAAACCCCGGCUAACUCUGUGCCAGCAGCCGCGGUAAUACGGAGGGGGUUAGCGUUGUUCGGAAUUUCUGGGCGUAAAGUGUACGUAGGCGGAUUGGAAAGUUGGGGGUGAAAUCCCAGGGCUCAACCCUGGAUCUGCCUCCAAAACUAUCAGUCUAGAGUUCGAGAGAGGUNGAGUGGAAUUCCAAGUGUAGAGGUGAAAUUCGUAGAUAUUUGGAGGAACACCAGUGGCGAAGUUGGCUCANCAGGCUAGAUACUUACGUUUAGGUACGAAAGUGUGCGGAGCAAACAGGAUUAGAUAUCUUNGGUANGUCNCACUCCGUAANACUAUGAAUGCNCCAGUGCGUCUGGGCAAUAUCUCUGUNNUCNCGGUGUCACACAUCGACGGCAUUAACUCAUUCAGCNGCUUGCGAGUCACGUCGAAGUUC
rnacentral:rRNA from 1 species